GAAAGCAGGGGAUCGAAAGACCUUAUGCUUUUGGAGCGGCCGAUGUCUGAUUAGCUAGUUGGUAAGGUAAUGGCUUACCAAGGCGACGAUCAGUAGUUGGUCUGAGAGGACGGCCAGCCACACUGGGACUGAGACACGGCCCAGACUCCUACGGGAGGCAGCAGUGGGGAAUUUUGGACAAUGGGCGCAAGCCUGAUCCAGCAAUUCCGCGUGAGUGAAGAAGGCCUUCGGGUUGUAAAGCUCUUUCAGUCGAGAAGAAAAGGUUGUGACUAAUAAUCAUAACUCAUGACGGUAUCGACAGAAGAAGCACCGGCUAACUACGUGCCAGCAGCCGCGGUAAUACGUAGGGUGCAAGCGUUAAUCGGAAUUACUGGGCGUAAAUNGGGCGCAGGC
rnacentral:rRNA from 1 species